rnacentral:lncRNA from 1 species
CCCCAUGUUCAACUUUGUUCAACUUCCCAUUUCCCCCACAGGCUACGGCCCCCCCAGUGGUCUAGGAGCAGGCCUUGGAGGGAGUGUGAAGCCCCAGAGGCCAGGGUUUAGGCCUGGCAUUGGGCUGGGAGUCAGGGCCUUUCCAGGAGCUGCAGCCCAGCCAGGAUACGGAAAUGGGCUGGGAGCUGCCACCUUCCCGCAGCUGGGAGCCCAGCCGGGAGCCCAGCCAGCCCCACCUGUGUCCCCAGGGUUUGGGAGCAGAAAUGGUUUCGGUGUUGCCUUUCCUGGGGCAGGAGCACUGCCAGGAAUUGCCGGGAGUGUGAAACCUCCAAAGCCGGGAUUCAGCAACAGGAAUGGGAUGGGAGCUGGGGCCCUCCCAGGAGCUGGAGCCCAGCAAGGACCCAGCAUUGGCGAUGGCCUGGGGGCCCAGCCAGGCUUUGGAGCCGGAGGAAGACUCCAGGCGCCAGGGUUCGGGACCGAGAACGGAGCCCAGCCAGGCCUUGGAGGACCCAAAGCUGGGAAGCCAGGUUCUGCAACUGAAAAUGGCUACGGACCAGACUUUGGAGCAGACGUGAAACCCCAGACACCAGGCCCCCCAGCUCAGAACAGCUAUGGAGCAGGUACCCAGGGCUCGGGAGACACUGGAGUCAGGAUGCUGGGGUUCUGGGGAGGCUCCGAGAUGGGGGUUCUGGGUCCCCCACCUGUGGCUCAUUCUGUCCAGGCUCUGGAGGAGGUGUCGAAACCCCGGGUGUGCAUCUCACUCCUGCCCAAGUCUCUGUCCCCCCCAGUCUGCAGUCCCUUCCUCUGUCACCUCCAUCUCCAUCUCUCCCCCAGGAUUUGGGAACGGGCUGGGAGCCCAGUCAGGCUCUGCAGCUGA